AGAGUUUGAUCCUGGCUCAGGAUGAACGCUGGCGGCGUGCCUAACACAUGCAAGUCGAGCGGAGUUAUUUUCAGGAAGCUUUCGGGUGGAAUGAACUUAACUUAGCGGCGGACGGGUGAGUAACGCGUGGACAACCUACCCUGUACAGGGGGAUAACAAUGGGAAACCAUUGCUAAUACCCCAUAACACCUUUUAGGGGCAUCCCUUUAAGGUCAAAGAAUUUCGGUACAGGAUGGGUCCGCGUCUGAUUAGCUAGUUGGUGAGGUAAUGGCUCACCAAGGCGACGAUCAGUAGCCGGCCUGAGAGGGUGAACGGCCACACUGGAACUGAGACACGGUCCAGACUCCUACGGGAGGCAGCAGUGGGGAAUAUUGCACAAUGGGCGAAAGCCUGAUGCAGCAACGCCGCGUGAGCGAUGAAGGCUUUCGGGUCGUAAAGCUCUGUCCUAAGGGAAGAUAAUGACGGUACCUUAGGAGGAAGCCCCGGCUAACUACGUGCCAGCAGCCGCGGUAAUAC
rnacentral:rRNA from 1 species